UACGGAGGGGACUAGCGUUGUUCGGAAUUACUGGGCGUAAAGCGCGCGUAGGCGGCUUUGUAAGUUAGAGGUGAAAGCCCGGGGCUCAACUCCGGAAUUGCCUUUAAGACUGCAUCGCUAGAAUUGUGGAGAGGUAAGUGGAAUUCCGAGUGUAGAGGUGAAAUUCGUAGAUAUUAGGAAGAACACCAGUGGCGAAGGCGGCUCACUGGCCCGGUACUGACGCUGAGGCGCGAAAGCGUGGGGGAGCAA
rnacentral:rRNA from 1 species